CAUUGCGCUGGUUUCUGCAUUGGAUCGAACGUUUUCGCAGCAUAUUCCGUCGCUUAAUUUCUGCGGCCUUGUCGAAGGGAUCCACAUCCGUCUGUAAAGCGAAAAACACACAAGAAAGUGGAUCAUUCCCGGGUCACGGCUGCCGCAGGACUGCCUGACUGCUCGGCAAUUGAACAAGCCACUUACCACCAUGGAGGCGUUGCCAAAGUUGCUGCCUUUUAUGACCCGACGGUCGUACAUGACGUUCUUGUACGGCUCCGGCGGCGGCACAAUGGGUCUGUGGAGGAGGCAAGAAAAAAAGCCCAACCCCAAAUCUGUUGCACCUCCUCCAACAUCGGCCGAUAAGCAUCAAAUUUGUGCAUUUCUCAACGCCCCAACGCCCAACAGCAGGCUAGCUGACUGGCUGGCUGCUUGUCAAGUCAUCUCCGAUUCGAAUCAAUUCGAACACCCACUCCGCCAGCGAAGUUCACUACACUUUUGGGUCAAAUGAAGGAGCGAGCCACUAGUCGAUUUCCCUCGAGUUUUAAAGCUUUAAAAACUCCUUCAGCGUCGCUUUGGACUGUUUAUCUAUUCUGCUUCACGGGUUUUCGCAACUGAAUAAAUG